UCCCUGGUGGGUCAGUGGUAAAGCAUCUGCUUGCAAUGUAGAAGACCCAGGUUCAAUCCCUGGGUGGGGAA
rnacentral:tRNA from 1 species